GUGGAUCUGGACGUUGGCGGGGAUGGAGUGGAGGUGGUGGUUCCGGUGGCCGUGGGGGACCUGCGGACCGAGGCGGCGGACGCGGAAGACGGUGAUGACCGUGGCGACGUGGGGGAUGCCGAGGUGGUGGUGGACGGCGCCGUCGCCUCUGCUGGGGUUGGGGUUGGGGUUGGGAUCGGCCGGAAAGGCGACGAGGAAGGUGUGGCACGGCCGCGCGUCGGCGGCGAGGAGGGACGCGGCGACAACGGCGAGGAGCAGGAGGAGGCGGCGGGCGGCCAUGGCGGCGGCGGAGAG
rnacentral:lncRNA from 1 species